GACGAACGCUGGCGGCGUGCUUAACACAUGCAAGUCGUACGGUAAGGCCCUUUCGGGGGUACACGAGUGGCGAACGGGUGAGUAACACGUGAGUAACCUGCCCACAACUUUGGGAUAACGCUAGGAAACUGGUGCUAAUACUGGAUAUGUGCUCCUGCUGCAUGGUGGGGGUUGGAAAGCUCCGGCGGUUGUGGAUGGACUCGCGGCCUAUCAGCUUGUUGGUGGGGUAGUGGCCUACCAAGGCGGCGACGGGUAGCCGGCCUGAGAGGGUGACCGGCCACAGUGGGACUGAGAUACGGCCCAGACGCCGACGGGAGGCAGCAGUGGGGAAUAUUGCACAAUGGGCGCAAGCCUGAUGCAGCAACGCCGCGUGCGGGAUGACGGCCUUCGGGUUGUAAACCGCUUUCAGCAGGGACGAAGCUUUUUGUGACGGUACCUGCAGAAGAAGCACCGGCUAACUACGUG
rnacentral:rRNA from 1 species